rnacentral:rRNA from 1 species
CCGGCGCACGGGUGCGUAACGCGUAUACAAUCUACCUUUUACUGAGGGAUAGCCCAGAGAAAUUUGGAUUAACACCUCAUGGUAUCAAGAUAAGGCAUCUUAAUUUGAUUAAAGGUUACGGUAAGAGAUGAGUAUGCGUCCUAUUAGCUAGUUGGUGUGGUAACGGCACACCAAGGCAACGAUAGGUAGGGGCCCUGAGAGGGGGAUCCCCCACACUGGUACUGAGACACGGACCAGACUCCUACGGGAGGCAGCAGUGAGGAAUAUUGGACAAUGGGCGGAAGCCUGAUCCAGCCAUGCCGCGUGCAGGAAGACUGCCCUAUGGGUUGUAAACUGCUUUUAUAUAGGAAGAAACCCACUUACGUGUAAGUGGCUGACGGUACUAUAAGAAUAAGCAUCGGCUAACUCCGUGCCAGCAGCCGCGGUAAUACGGAGGAUGCAAGCGUUAUCCGGAAUCAUUGGGUUUAAAGGGUCCGUAGGUGGACAGAUAAGUCAGAGGUGAAAUCCUGCAGCUCAACUGUAGAAUUGCCUUUGAUACUGUUUGUCUUGAGUUAUUAUGAAGUGGUUAGAAUGUGUAGUGUAGCGGUGAAAUGCAUAGAUAUUACACAGAAUACCGAUUGCGAAGGCAGAUCACUAAUAAUCAACUGACACUGAUGGACGAAAGCGUGGGGAGCGAACAGGAUUAGAUACCCUGGUAGUC